CCUACGGGAGGCAGCAGUGAGGAAUAUUGGUCAAUGGACGAGAGUCUGAACCAGCCAAGUAGCGUGAAGGAUGACUGCCCUCUGGUUUGUAAACUUCUUUUAUAUGGGAAUAAAAUGUUCCACGUGUGGGAUUUUGUAUGUACCAUAUGCAUAAGGAUCGGCUAACUCCGUGCCAGCCGCCCCGGUAAUACGGAGGAUCCGAGCGUUAUCCGGAUUUAUUGGGUUUAACGGGAGCGUAGGUGGAUUGUUAAGUCAGUUGUGAAAGUUUGCGGCUCAACCGUAAAAUUGCAGUUGAAACUGGCAGUCUUGAGUACAGUAGAGGUGGGCGGAAUUCGUGGUGUAGCGGUGAAAUGCGUAGAUAUCACGAAGAACUCCGAUUGCGAAGGCAGCUCACUGGACUGCAACUGACACUGAGGCUCGAAAGUGUGGGUAUCAAACAGGAUUAGAUACCCCUGUAGUC
rnacentral:rRNA from 1 species